GAGAGGAAAGCAUAUUCAUAGGAAAUUUUUGAUUUUGGUAGGUGGGAAUGUUACAACGAAUUCACUACACUAUAAACUUUACUACUAAUUUACAACUACAUUCCUUGUAAUAGGGUCGUUAAUUAGAUGCAAAGUGAUCAAUGUAAAAUAGUCGAAAAUAACGUCUUUUUACGACGAAAUUAACAGGUCGUCGUAAAUAAAUUGUUACUUUCUGACUAAUUUACGAUGAAAUAUAUUCGUAGCAAAAUUACGUCAAAGUUACGACGAUUUCCAAUUUUGUCGUUAUUUCAUCGUAAGGACGACAUUAAAUUAUGACUACACAAUUGUAGUCGUUAUGACCAUGUUUUCAUAG
rnacentral:lncRNA from 1 species